rnacentral:tRNA from 1 species
GGCGGAGAGCAGAAGCAUGAAUGGC